UGUCUACAACAAGUGAUUUGUCAAGCGGUCAUCCGUUAUGUAAGUGUGGAAUUCCUGCACGUCUAAGGUACUCUUGGACCACAUCCAAUCCCGCUAAAAAGUGGUAUGAAUGUAAUAACUACAAGCCGGUGAUUGUGAUUUUUUUGAAUGGGAUAAGAAGAUGUCUGCAUACGAGAAGGGAUUAGCGCAAUAUCUGAAAGAGAUGGAGGAGAGAAGACAGGCUGACAAUGACAAAGUUGAGGAAUUAAUUGAAAAAAAAUGCAAGGAACAAUUAGCGCAACAUUUGAAAGAAAUGGAGGAGAAAGUUGAGGAAUUGAUUGAAAAAAAAUGUAAGGAACAAUUAGCGCAACGUAACGAGAAGAUGUUUUGUGUUUUGUUGUUAGUUGUCAUUUUGCUGUUAGCCUUUUAUUUUUGUAGUUAUAGUGAACCUAGACAUACUAACUUGAUGUUAAAAUGAAAUUAUGAAAACAAUUCAGUUGUAAAAGACUUUUGACUUUUUUCUGUUUGUACGAAUUUCCUAAAUGUAUGUUAAACUUAAUUGAUGACUGUGAACUUUUGGUCUUUGAUCAUCUUUGAUCUCA